UUGAACUCAUGAAGGUCCACUUGCCCUGCAC
rnacentral:piRNA from 1 species